GCCUCAGUGAAUCCCCAACAAUAAAAAAAUAAAUAAAUAAAUAAAAUAAAAAAGAAAAUGAUGAUUGGAGAUCUUAUGAUACGUGAUUAUAAGUGUCUGUGUAACCAGGACUUGCAACACCCUGGUUACUCUUAUCUGAU